rnacentral:sRNA from 1 species
UUCAGAUGCCAAAAGUCAAAUGUUUCCAAAUAGAAAUUCAGUAUAGAUUUUAAGACUUUGUUUAAGAUUUUGUCUCCCAUCAAGUCACGUCAAGAGAACCAAGUUUAAAUAGUGGAAUAGUUCCUAACACGAUCUCAAUAUUUUGUCUUUCCAGAACGAUAUGUGGUACCCCAAAUUAUCUCUCUCCUGAAGUCCUCAACAAACAAGGACAUGGCUGUGAAUCAGACAUUUGGGCCCUGGGCUGUGUAAUGUAUACAAUGUUACUAGGGAGGCCCCCAUUUGAAACUACAAAUCUCAAAGAAACCUAUAGGUGCAUAAGGGAAGCAAGGUAUACAAUGCCGUCCUCAUUGCUGGCUCCUGCCAAGCACUUAAUUGCUAGUAUGUUGUCCAAAAACCCAGAGGAUCGUCCCAGUUUGGAUGACAUCAUUCGACAUGACUUUUUUUUGCAGGGCUUCACUCCAGACAGACUGUCUUCUAGCUGUUGUCAUACAGUUCCAGAUUUCCACUUAUCAAGCCCAGCAAAGAAUUUCUUUAAG